UCAGGUGACUAUAGCAUCAGGGUUCCACCUCUUCCCAUUCCGAACAGAGAAGUUAAGCCUGAUUACGCCGAUGGUACUGCGUAACAGUGGGAGAGUAGGUAGUCGCCGUUU
rnacentral:rRNA from 1 species